rnacentral:rRNA from 1 species
AGUGAGCGCUGGCGGUAGGCCUAACACAUGCAAGUCGAACGGCAGCACAGUAAGAGCUUGCUCUUACGGGUGGCGAGUGGCGGACGGGUGAGGAAUACAUCGGAAUCUACUUUUUCGUGGGGGAUAACGUAGGGAAACUUACGCUAAUACCGCAUACGACCUACGGGUGAAAGCAGGGGAUCUUCGGACCUUGCGCGAUUGAAUGAGCCGAUGUCGGAUUAGCUAGUUGGCGGGGUAAAGGCCCACCAAGGCGACGAUCCGUAGCUGGUCUGAGAGGAUGAUCAGCCACACUGGAACUGAGACACGGUCCAGACUCCUACGGGAGGCAGCAGUGGGGAAUAUUGGACAAUGGGCGCAAGCCUGAUCCAGCCAUACCGCGUGGGUGAAGAAGGCCUUCGGGUUGUAAAGCCCUUUUGUUGGGAAAGAAAAGCAGCAGGUUAAUACCCCGCUGUUCUGACGGUACCCAAAGAAUAAGCACCGGCUAACUUCAUG